rnacentral:rRNA from 1 species
UCGAGAAUAUUCGACAAUGGGCGAAAGCCUGAUCGAGCGACGCCGCGUGCAGGAAGAAGGCCUUCGGGUCGUAAACUGCGGUAGCUAGGGAAGAACGCAAGUGACGGUACCUAGCGGAAAGAGGUGGGUAACUACGUGCCAGCACCAGCGGUAAUACGUAGACCUCAAGCGUUAUCCGGAUUUAUUGGGCGUAAAGCGUGUGUAGGAGGUUUUGUGCGUCUUCUGUUAAAUACCACCGCCUAACGGUGGGCCUGCGGAGGAUACGACAAGACUAGAGGGGGUUAGAGGUGCAUGGAACUCACGGUGUAGGGGUGACAUCCGUUGAUAUCGUGGGGAACACCAAAGGCGAAGGCAAUGCACUGGGACCUUCCUGACUCUGAGACACGAAAGCGUGGGGAGCAAAAAGGAUUAGAUACCCUUGUAGUCCCUGAGCGGGCUGGCAAGGCGCAU